GGGGAUUUAGCUCAGUGGUAGAGCGCUUGCCUAGCAAGUGCAAGCCCCUGGGUUCAGUCCUCA
rnacentral:tRNA from 1 species